UUUAUCCUACGGGAGGCAGCAGUGGGGAAUAUUGGGCAAUGGGCGCAAGCCUGACCCAGCGACGCCGCGUGAGGGAAGACGGUCUUCGGAUUGUAAACCUCUUUCAGCAGGGAAGACAAAAGGACGGUACCUGCAAAAGAAGCCACGGCUAACUACGUGCCAGCAGCCGCGGUAAUACGUAGGUGGCAAGCGUUAUCCGGAAUUACUGGGUGUAAAGGGUGUGUAGGCGGGUUUGCAAGUCAGAUGUGAAAAUUAUUGGCUCAACCCAUAACCUGCGUC
rnacentral:rRNA from 1 species